rnacentral:misc_RNA from 1 species
AAAAAAAAAAAAAAAAAAAAAGGGUUUAUCACAUAUUAAUCAUUAAUGUGAAUCUUGAGCUCGUUUAUCAUCAUCAUCCAAUCACAAUUUACGGUCUGUAUAAAGGAAGUUAUUCCCCCUACCACAGCCUAUGCCUUAUGCCAACAUUAGACAUUUUUCUUUCUUUUCCUACCAAUAGCUUAGAACUACGGGCAGGAAACUGAGGUGAUUUGUUUGUAGGAGGGGAAACAACUUCUUGUCUAGAGUUACAACUGAAUGACAAACCCACUUCUUCAAGAGGCAGCAAGUUUGGCUUUACAGCUAAAUAUUAUUGUGCUUACAUAAAGUCCUCUUCCAGU